rnacentral:rRNA from 1 species
ACGUUGCUCGGAAUUACUGGGCGUAAAGCGCGUGUAGGCGGACUGGUGUGUCGGAUGUGAAAUCCCUGGGCUCAACCCAGGAACUGCAUUCGAAACUGCCAGCCUUGAGUGGUGGAGAGGGAAGUGGAAUUCCUGGUGUAGAGGUGAAAUUCGUAGAUAUCAGGAGGAACACCAGUGGCGAAGGCGGCUUCCUGGACACCAACUGACGCUGAGACGCGAAAGCGUG